GUGUCAGCAGCCGCGGUAAUACGGAGGGGGCCAGCGUUGUUCGGAAUCAUUGGGCGUAAAGGGCGCGUAGGCGGCUACUCAAGUCGGACGUGAAAUCCCCCGGCUCAACCGGGGAACUGCGUCCGAUACUGUGUGGCUCGAGUCCCGGAGAGGGUAGUGGAAUUCCCAGUGUAGCGGUGAAAUGCGUAGAUACUGGGAGGAACACCGGUGGCGAAGGCGGCUACCUGGACGGGUACUGACGCUGAGGCGCGAAAGCCAGGGGAGCAAACAGGAUUAGAUACCCCCGUAGUCC
rnacentral:rRNA from 1 species